rnacentral:rRNA from 1 species
AGUAAAAAAUUAAUAAGUAGAAAAAGUAAUAAAAAAAUUUUUAAAUAGAAGUAUUUUAAUGGGGGUUAAAGUAUUAUAUAUAGAAAAAAUUAUUAGUUUUAUAGUAAAUUAGUAUUGUAAAAGAAAUUUUAAAUAAAUGAAAAAUAAUUUGUAUAAAAGUAAAUUUAAUUUAUUGUAUCUUGUGUAUCAGAGUUUAUUAAAUAAUAUUUAUAAAAUUUAAAUUUCUCGAAUUUAAAAGAGUUAAUUAAUUAAUGAAGUUAUUGUAGCAAAAAUAUUUUAAAUAGUUAAUUUGAAAUGAAAUGUUAUUCGUUUUUAAAUAUAUCUAGUUUUUUUAGAAAAAAAUUUAAUUUUAUAUUUAUGUUUAUAAUAAAUUAAUUAUAUAAUUUAUUAUUUGAUAUAAAUAAAAUAUAUUAAGGGAUAAGCUUUAAUUUAAAUUUUUAUAAUAAAAUAAUAAUAAUAAUGAAAUUUUUAAAAUUUAAAUUAUUUAAAAAUUAUAAUUUUUUAUAAAUAAUUUUAUUUUAAAAUAAAAUUUAAAAUUAGAAUUUAAAUUUUUAUAAAAAUAUUUAUAUUAAUUAUUAAUUUAAAAAAAUAAUGAUAAAAUUAGUAUAUUUAGAUAAUAAUAGUGAUAAUAAUAAUAAUAAUAUAAAAUUAAUUUAAUAUAAUAAAAAGGAAUUCGGCAAAAUUUUAUAUUCACUUGUUUAUCAAAAACAUGUCUUUUUGAGAAAUAAUUUAAAGUCUAAUCUGCCCACUGAUUUAUAAUUAAAGGGCUGCAGUAUUUUGACUGUACAAAGGUAGCAUAAUCAUUAGUCUCUUAAUUGGUGACUUGUAUGAAAGAUUGGAUGAAAUAUAAACUGUCUCUUUAUUAAAAAUAGAAUUUAAUUUUUUAGUUAAAAAGUUAAAAUAAUAUUAAAAGACGAGAAGACCCUAUAGAGUUUUAUAAGUUAUUAAUUUUUAAUUAUAUAUUAAUAUUAUAAUAGUAAAAUUAUAAAUUUAUUUUGUUGGGGUGAUAAAAAAAUAAAAUAAACUUUUUUUUAAAUAAAAUCAUAUAUAAGUGAAUAAUUGAUCCUAAAUUUUAGAUUAAAAGAAAAAAUUACCUUAGGGAUAACAGCGUAAUUUUUUUUUUUAGUUCAAAUAAAAAAAAAAGUUUGCGACCUCGAUGUUGGAUUAAGAUAAAAAUUAAAUGUAAAAGUUUAAAUUUUUUGAUCUGUUCGAUCAUUAAAAUCUUACAUGAUCUGAGUUCAAACCGGUGUAAGCCAGGUUGGUUUCUAUCUUUAAUAACAUAAAAUAUUUUAGUACGAAAGGAAUAAAUAUUUAAAUUAAAUUUAAUGAAUGAAUUUUAUUAAAUAAAAAAAAAAUUAAAUUUAUUAAUUAUAAUAAUAAAGUUAUAUAUAUAUAUAUGUAUAUAUAUAUAUA